CAGCACGCGAGCAGAGGUGUUCGCGCUUGGCACUUUAAAUUCCGCGCGUGAGCAGAGAGAUUCGCGCUCGCGCAUUAUAUUAAUGUACUUUCGCGCUACAACAAUGCGCUCUCUACAUUUGAAAGGAAAAUAACGCCAUAGACGCUGCGCUACUGCUGCUAGGUCAGAGCCAGAGGGAGGGCCGCCGACAGACAAGUCUACAUUUGGAUUAGCGGGCCUCCAUGGUGUGGAAGGGCAGCUCCAAGGGCUCCGACAGUGGCUGUACCACAGACUCCGAUUGUCCACACCUGCAGGACUGGCGGAAUUGCCUAAACUCCUCCCGCAGGUCCUUCACCUCCUUGGACAGCUCUGUCACUGCACAUACCUUCAGGAGAUGGCCUCUGGAGUAAAUUAAUUGGAGAGAACACCAAUUCAUCUCCAGGGAACGAUGCUGGGACAUUGGGGGCAUGGUGGCUCUCCUCCUCAGACUGGAUGUCAGUGAUGUCACAAUCUUUAUUGAGAUAUCUGUCCAGGCUCCUCGCUGCCUCAUCAUGACUAUCUACAAACAUGGAAAAACAGUCAAGUACAGUCAGAGUCAGGAGAAAUUAUGUCAGACAGGGGUAUGUUCAGAUUCUUAUACCACAAAUCUUAUACCAGAACACCCACCACGAGUUAUGAGGAGACGGAUAGGCUGGUAUGUGUGCCAUCCCUGACCAGGCUGCUCUCUAUUCAGGAUGGCUGCAUUCAGCCUAAUAGAGUCCUUAGGAGGGUAUGGGGGCCAGAAGACUUUAUCUCCUUCAACCCAUGAGUUUGGCACAAUUUCAGUUGCCCCACUUCUGAACUGAACAACGCACCAUGUGGUCAUUUUUUUUAUUGCAGGGGAUUACAAAGACUAUAGAAAAAAGCAAGGGAAAAAAAAAACUUAUUUAUAAACUGAUGAACUGACUGCAUAAACUGAUUAUAUGAACUGAUUUGGAAAUUUUGGAAAAAAUUUAAUUGGUAUGAAUGAUGGGAAUGGCGAUGAACUUGGUUUUGUCUGGAUAAAUUGUGUACUUUUUGCCGAUGUGCUGAAGCCUAGUCACACCGACAUUCUUGCACAUCCCCCAAACUGUGUAUACCCUAGUGUUUUCAGAUGGAAAGGGAUACUGGCCAUAGGACUCUUUUUUGGUAAACUUGCGAAAAAUUAUGUAAGUCUCCUGACCUACCCUGACAAUGUUUUCAACAACGGCAAUGUCAUCUACAAUUUGAAAACAGUUAUCCCCAGACCUAGAUGAUAUUGUGUACUUUUCUGUAACAAGCUUACAGAACUGGUCCCCACAGCUUAAUGAAGAGAUCAAUGGACCACCAUAAUGAGGAUGCAUGAAUUUUUGUCCUUUCUUCAAUGUGUCCAAUGUCGGUGCAGGUGAUUCUGAGAGCCUUUUUACUACUUGCUGUAAAGGCAAGUGAGGCUUGCGCAAUAGGUGCUUUAGUUGCGCUAAAUAACUCUCAUAAGGAAAUGCAGAUAUGUUGUCCAAGGGACCAAACAGACGGUAUUCUGAUGCCAAGUGUGUCAGCUGAUGGACAUUGUAGGUGAUUUCACCUUUCCCAUAUAGCUGACCAAAGUGAGUUACGAAGGAAGUCAACAAUCCCUGAGCGCAAUCAAUCAUUUCCUCUGAUGUUCCAGGCGACAACAGCAGAUGCAUGGCCACAGAAAGUAACAUAAAGUUUUCAUAAAU
ensembl:lncRNA